rnacentral:rRNA from 1 species
UACGGAGGGUGCAAACGUUGCUCGGAAUCAUUGGGCGUAAAGCGCACGUAGGCGUCCCGUUAAGUCGAACGUGAAAUCCCCGGGCUCAACCCGGGAACUGCGUCCGAUACUGGCAGGCUUGAAUCCGGGAGAGGGAUGUGGAAUUCCAGGUGUAGCGGUGAAAUGCGUAGAUAUCUGGAGGAACACCGGUGGCGAAGGCGGCAUCCUGGACCGGUAUUGACGCUGAUGCGCGAAAGCCAGGGGAGCAAACGGG